UGGCGAACGGGUGAGUAAUAUAUCGGAACGUGCCCAGUCGUGGGGGAUAACGUAGAGAAAUUUACGCCAAUACCGCAUACGAUCUAAGGAUGAAAGCGGGGGACUCGCAAGAGCCUCGCGCGAUUGGAGCGGCUGAUAUCAGAUUAGGUUGUUGGUGAGGUAAAAGCUCACCAAGCCGACGAUCUGUAGCUGGUUUGAGAGAACGACCAGCCACACUGGGACUGAGACACGGCCCAGACUCCUACGGGAGGCAGCAGUGGGGAAUUUUGGACAAUGGGCGAAAGCCUGAUCCAGCAAUACCGCGUGAGGGACGACGGCUUUUGGGUUGUAAACCUCUUUUCCCUGGGAAGAAGAUCUGACGGUACCAGGGGAAUCAGCAUCGGCUAACUUCGUGCCAGCAGCCGCGGUAAUACGAGGGAUGCAAGCGUUAUCCGGAAUUAUUGGGCGUAAAGCGUCCGCAGGUGGCUUUGUAAGUCUGUCGUUAAAGCGUGGAGCUCAACUCCAUAUCGGCGAUGGAAAC
rnacentral:rRNA from 1 species